rnacentral:misc_RNA from 1 species
UACGUAGGUGGCAAGCGUUGUCCGGAAUUAAUGGGCGUAAAGCGUACGCAGGCGGUUUCUUAAGUCUGAUGUGAAAGCCCACGGCUCAACCGUGGAGGGUCAUUGGAAACCGGGGAACUUGAGUACAGAAGAGGAGAGUGGAAUUCCACGUGUAGCGGUGAAAUGCGUAGAGAUGUGGAGGAACACCAGUGGCGAAGGCGACUCUCUGGUCUGUAACUGACACUGAGGCGCGAAAGCGUGGGGAGCAAACAGG